UAACCCGUUUGACCAGUGGAGGCCUCCGGAGCUAGCCGCAGCGCCUCAUCCCGCCAAGUGCCUCAGACCACCACGAACCAUCUCUAGGCGGCCGCCACGCUCUCGAAUUUGACUGACCACUGCUCCGAGAUUGGGUUGUAAUAUUGCCACAAUUUGGGUUCAAAGCCUAGAUAUUACCCUCCAAAAUUUAGAUAUUGAACUAUUUAUAAUACCAGAAUCGUUGUUAGCGUUUCCUGUCUGGGCGAGAUGCUAUCUAUAAGAAAGAUUAAGCACCAGAUUACUGUGAAUUCCUCUUCUGCUUUAUAUCUCUUACUUGCUGCCAGCAAUAGCAACAUGAAUCGAGUAUUCAGAUACAAAUUUCAUGCUUAUUGGGGUUGCUAUUCUCUCUGCCAAUUUGUUAGCUCCUCUUUGACCUGCUUGGACUCUCACACUGUUGUCUUGGGAUUACUGAAUAGCUUUACCCUUCAGCCCAAGUAUUCAUCAACAAUGGCUGGAAGAAUUUUGGUCCAGGCUCGAGACCCAGCUAAACUAACUAUGGAUAUGCAAAAUGCAAUGGAUGAGGGUAGAUUUAAUGACACAUGGAAAUUAUAUGAACAGCAUAUGCAGAUGGAGGGUUUCCCUCGGAAAUCUGUGGUGAACAAGCUUCUAACAAGUUUUGCAGAAAGCCUUGAUGUUCAAUGGCUUGAAAAGGCUUAUGGAUUAGUAGAACAGGCUUUCGAGGAAGGUAAACAGACCUUAUUUGAAAAGGAUCCACUUGUAUAUCUCUCUUAUGGUCUUGCAAAAUCUGGAUUACCAGUUCCUGCAUCAACAAUUUUAAGAAAGUUGGUAGAAAUGGAAGAGUAUCCCCCUGUUUCUGCUUGGUCUGCAAUUUUGGCCUUCAUGUCACAAACAGCUGCUGGUGCUUACCUUGCUGCUGAGAUAAUUCUUGAGAUGGGUUACUUGUUUCAAGAUGGGAGGGUGGAUCCGCGUAAAAAGAGUAAUGCACCUUUGAUUGCUAUGAAACCUAACACCACUGCUGUCAACAUUGCUCUGGCAGGGUGUCUUUUGUUUGGUACAACUAGGAAAGCAGAGCAACUCCUUGACAUGAUACCUCGAAUUGGUGUCAAAUAUGAGACAAACUUAUUGAUCAUUAUGGCCCAUAUAUAUGAGAGAAAUGGACGAAAAGAAGAGCUGAAGAAACUUCAAAGAUAUAUUGAUGAAGCUCAUAACCUAAGUGAUAUUCAGUUUCGGCAGUUCUACAAUUGUUUGAUUACAUGCCACUUAAAAUUUGGUGAUCUAGAUUCUGCAUCCAACAUGGUUUUGGACAUGCUCCGAAAAGCAAAAGAAGCCAGAAAUUCUCUUGCUGCAGCCACACUCUUAUAUGAUACUGCUUCAAGUGGGAAAAAAUCUCCACCUGCUGAGGCUUCUGGGCAAAGUCUGAGUCAGAAGCGAUCAGAGGGUUCAGAGAAUAAUAGAUUAAUUAGAUAUGAAGAGUUUUCUAGGGACAGGAAUUUCCUAAAACUUGAAGCUGAAGCGAAGCAAAUGCUUGGUACGUUGUUGUCUAAGUUGCAAAUGCAAGUUGAAUUGCUUACAACCGAAUGUGGAGUUCUUCAACCAACUGAAAGAAUUUAUGUGAAACUGGUAAAGGCUUUUCUAGAAGUUGACAAGACCAAGGAUUUGGCAAAAUUCCUCAUCAAGGCUGAGAAAGAAAAUUCCCCAGUUUCCAGUGAUAGCUCAGCCUUGGUUCAUGUUAUUAAUUCAUGCAUUUCACUUGGGUGGUUAGAUCAGGCACAUGACCUUCUUGACGAGAUUCGUUUUGCUGGGAUAAGAACUAGCUCUUCCAUAUAUUCCUCUCUCUUGAAAGCAUAUUGCAAGGCAAACCGAGCAGGAGAGGUGGCAUCACUUUUACGAGAUGCUCGUAAGGCUGGCAUCCAGCUAGAUUCCAGCUGUUAUGAGGCGCUUAUGCAAUCCAAAGUGCUUCAGAAAGAUACACAGGGUGCCCUCCAUCUAUUCCAAGAGAUGAAAGAGGCUAAAAUACCACGAGCUGGCCAUCAAGAGUUUGAGAUGCUAGUUAAGGGAUGUGAGGAGGGUGGUGAGGGAGGGUUGAUGGCGAAGCUCUUGCAGGAAAUUAAGGGCGGGCAGAGAAUUGAUAGCGGAGUGCAUGAUUGGAACAAUGUAAUCCACUUUUUUUGCAAGAAGAGAUUGAUGCAAGAUGCUGAGAAGGCUUUGAUGAAGAUGAGGAGUCUGGGGCAUCCCCCCAAUGCUCAAACUUUUCAUUCCAUGGCUACUGGGUAUGCAGCUAUUGGGGGAAAAUAUGUGGAGGUGACAGAGUUGUGGGGUGAGAUGAAGAGUCUUGCCUCUUCUACAUCAAUGAAGUUUGAUCAAGAACUUCUGGAUUCUGUGCUAUAUACGUUUGUUAGGGGUGCAUUUUUUGUUCGAGCAAAUGAAGUUGUGGAGAUGAUGGAAAAAGGAAACAUGUUUGUUGACAAGUACAAAUACCGAACUCUCUUCUUGAAGUACCAUAAAACACUUUAUAAGGGCAAGGCUCCUAAAUUCCAGACAGAAGCUCAACUGAAAAAGAGAGAAGCAGCAUUGACUUUUAAGAAGUGGGUGGGCUUGUGCUGAGGAAAUUCUUGGUCUAUUACACGCCUUGUUUUGGACAAUAAUCUGGUGAUUGUUGACUCAUUCAUUUGUGCUUGAAGUUAAGAGGCAUUUCAAGAAUGGCACUUACAACUAGGAACCACCCAAACGCACACCAAGAUGAAUCCCUUGAUGUGUGCAAUGAGGAUCAUAGGAGGGCUCUGGGGGAUUCUGAAGCCCUUGCACGUGGCGACAAGCCUAACUGUGGAUGUUGGACACAUUUGGGAAGUAAUUUUGAUCAGUUCUGCCACCUGCAUCCCCCAAUGUUCAAUGGCAAAGCUGAUGUUAUGGAGUGCGAUAACUGGAUGAACAGGUUGGAGAAGAUUUUUCGGACCAUCGACUGAACCAAGGAGCAGAAGGUUGAAUUUGCCACAUUCAAUCUGGCUGAUGUGCUGAUGAGUGGUGGACCUCCACCAGAAAGCUGAUAAAGCAAGAGCUUGGUGAAGAAACCCCAAUUACCUGGACAUGAUUUAAGCAGGUAUUCAGGGACCAAUUCUUCCUGAGGUCUUUAGAGAGGUCAAGGCCCAAGAGUUGGCAGAUUUGAGACAAAAGCAUAUGUCAGUACAACAAUAUGCAUCCUGGUUCAUCGAGCUUUCACGCUCUGCACCCCCAUAUCUGAUCCCAGAUUUGUCCCUGAAGGCUCAGAAAUUUGAGAGAGGACUGCAUCCACGAAUCCUUGAUAGAUUAAUUGCACUGAAGUUAAGGAAUUUUCAUGAAUUAGUGGACAGGGCAAUUAUCUUAGAGGAGUAUCUGCAGUCGAGGGUGGAACAAUUUAAUAAGAGAAAACGUGAGCAACAGAUUACUUAGCAAAGCUGAAGCAACAAGCCCUUCCAGAGCAGUGGACAGAGGCCACCACAGAACAAUAGGCCACAACAGAAUGCUACUGGACAACGUUCCACGUGUCAGACUUGCAGCAAGAUGCACUUGGAGAGUGCUUGAAGGGAACCAACACAUGCUUCAAGUGUGGGAAACCAGAACAUCUUAUUCGAGAUUGUUCACAGAUAUGUACACCCCCCAUUAAUGAAUGGUGAGCAGAACAGUGCUCCAGAUCAGGCUUUUCUCCUCACUCCUCACGAUGCCAAGAUGACGGAUGUUGUGGUUGAAGAUGUUGUGGAGAAGAAAUCCCAUCUGUGACAGACCACCUUACCCAGCAAGAGAAAUCCAUUAAAGGAAAGUGUCAAAGGCCAUCUCAAAAUCGGUGGGAUUUGGAAAGGAAUUGGGGAAGAUGACCUACUUGCCAUAGAAUCUGUGGUAAGAAUUUUGCUCUAAAUCACAUUUAAUAUUGUCCGAGCAGUCAAGUGUGGACAGACAAUCUGAGUU